AGGCUACAGGAGGGAAUAUGUUGCCUUUUCCAACAGCCAGAGGCUACCUGCAUUCCUUGACUUGUGGCCUCUUAUCACAUCUCCUUUUCCUCUCUGUGCCUGUCAUCACAUCUUCACAACUCUCACCCUUUUGCCUCUCUCUUGUUAAACCUGUGAUUGCAGUGGACCCACCUGUAUAAUCCAGGAGUGUCUCCUUAACUCAAGAUCCUUAAUUUAACCCCACAGCAAAGUCCCUUUUACCGUGUAAAGUAACAUAGUCACAGUUUCUGGGGAUUAGGGUGUGAACAUCUUUGAGGGGCCAUUAUUCAGGCUAUCACACCAUGUGGGUGACCACUGGGUGGUCAGGCUGUGCUACAGGAUGGAGUGUAACAUGAGUGGGGCCCAGGCUAAAGGGCAGGCAUGUCACCCAGGGAAGAAACAAGUACAUGAUUUGAGGUCACUGAGAACAAACAACACACACACCAAGCUCAAGUGGCACAGCAUUUAUUCAUAGCAAGAGGAGAGAAAGCGUGCAUAAGAUCCAGCUCCUUGCAAAGCGUUGGGCCCCCAGGGCCAGCUGAUCCACUUAACUACCAAUUCAGGUAGCGUGGCUGCACGUACUCUAUUUUGUGCUGCAGUCAAACGACCCAGACUCCAACCCCACACCUGUGGGCUCUGACUUACAGAAAGCUGGGAGUGUGCCAGAGGGCACUGACACAUGCGCACAGUCCGGUCAUGUGCAUGCACACGGUCGUGCACAGUCUUAAGCAAAACAAAGGAGCACACUGUGAGUCUGAAACAGGGAAAGCUAUUCCCACACAAGGCGAUAAACCCAGCACAGGUGUGUGGGCUCUAGGGCAAGCCCAUUCUUUUUUCACUGUCGCGGCCUCUCCCGCCGCAGAGCACAGGCUCCAGUUGCGCAGGCUCAGCGGCCAUGGCUCACGGGCCCAGCCGCUCCGCGGUAUGUGGGAUCUUCCCGGACCGGGGCAUGAACCCGCGUCCCCUGCAUCGGCAGGAGGACUUGCAACCACUGCGCCACCAGAGCAACUAUGGAUGAGAAUGACCUGAAGACUAGCAGAAAAGAUCUACAACUAAAGAUAUAAAGAAGGAGCCACAAUAAGAUGGUAGGAGGAGCAAAGGCACAAUGUAGUCAAGACUCACACCCCCAGUCUUGGGAGAUUUGGAGCAAUUCCUAUGAAAAUCCAGCUGAAGUAAUUGCCGGAUGAGAAACAGUGACAAGGGCUGCCUUAGCUGGGCUCAAAUCCUGAGCCAUAUUCAGGAAAAAGUUCUGUUAUCUACAGGAGGGAAAAAAAUGACUGCCCAUCCAUUUAACCUCUAUAUUACUCUGCCUCAUGUGUGUUCUGUAAGAUCUGUAAAAAGAAUGGUGUCCAGCUUGCAUCUCUGGAGUAAAACUACUUACUGUGGACAUACCCAGUGCACAAAUUACACAGGGAACUAUAGUCAAUAUCUUGAAAUAACGUAUAAUGGAAAAGAAGCUGAAAAAGAAUACAUAUGUUCACUUUGUUGUACAUUUGAAACUAACACAAUAUUGUAAGUUAACUACACUUCAAUAAAAAAAAAAUUUUUUUAAAGGGAGCCCUACCUAUGCUC